CAGACACCGGAAGACGUGGUUCUGGCGGUUUGGGAGUCACGUGUACCGAAACCGACGAAUCAUGUGAGAGUGAGUCAGAAACUGAGGAAGCGGGACGGAAUGUACGUCUGAACGUCAUCAAAGACGACAUACGAUGACUCGUCUUGAAGAGCAGCAGCUCCGCCAACCGCCUUCCAGAUGACACUCCAAUCAAACCCAAGAAGAAAAACAAACUUCCUCAAAGGGACUGAAAACAGCCAAAUAUCAAGGGGCAUUCUUGCUGAAGGGAUCAGCCAAAGCAGCCAAAGCAGUGGUGGAGAGAUGAUAUUGAGAAGAAAACCAAAACGGCCUGGAUGCAUGUGGCGCAAGACCGCCAAAAAUUGAGAAGUUUGUGGAGGCUACCCGCCAGCAGUGGCGUGACAGGCAGAAAUGAUGAUGAUGAUGUUAAAGAAAGAUUAAAAAAAGGUGCAGCAGAAAGAUAAAGAAGGAUUUCAGUUUUCAGAAUGCCAUGCAUGAUACAUACAGUAAUGUUGUCUUGCCAUUACAUGAUAUUGGAAACACUUCCAGAGUUAUCAGUCGGAAUGAAAACAUGAUGAAUCUAUUGAUUUGAUCGGUAAAGAAGCUGCAGUUAUGACUUGUUAUUUGACAAAACUGACACUUUCACUGACAUAAAAACUUGCUUUUGGAGCUUGAACUGACCAUUUGGAGCUACAGUACCAACUUGCAUUUUGAGAAAGUGACUUGCUUUUGUGGGUUGCCUACCAUGUUUUGCAGUUUGUACUAAUUGAUUUGAGAAACGCCUGAGGAGUUCUGCAAACUUCAAUACUGUUGUGAGAAAUGUACUAAAUCAAUUGAGAAAAACUGUAAAAAAAAAAAAAAAAAGAGCUGGAGAAAAUUUAGUUUUUUUUUAGUUUGCAGCAAAUCAACAAUAUUUAUUGGAUAAAUUGUUCUGAAUUUAAUUUUAGAAAAAUGGAACUAUUGCAUGAAUUAUUAUGCAGUUUCACUGCCAUGCAGGAAGUAGCACUGCAGCCUUCCUCGCCUCUAGAGGGCGAGUCAGCUUUGGUUCUGAACCCUUCUUGUUUCCGCUUGUCCUCUCCACCCAACACAUUCUCACUUCCAAGUUGUCACAUAUCUACAUUUGGUUAAGGACCCCUCCACUUCACUUUAUGAUGUUUUGGGUCUCUACAAAUAAUCGUUUUUUGACGUACUGGCUGUUUCCAUUAAAUCAUGGGUCCCCAACCUCUGGGCCGCAAACCAGAACCGUUCCAGUACAGCGACGCGUAGUGCACAGGUACCCAAACCGGAUACCAGUAUCCUAAACCUAAACUGACACCGGACCAGAUGUGGUACCAGACCUGAACUGGUAUUAGACACGGUACCGGGUGCGAACCGGAGGCAAACCAGAACCAGGUUAAGGUUAAGGUACCGGUGUCCUAACCCGACACUGGACCUGGACCGGUACCAGACGUGAUACCAGGAGCGAAGUACCAAAAGCAAACCAGUACCUGGUCAUGAUAAGUGUACUGUUAUCCUAACUCGACACCGGACCCGAUGCAGUACUGAACCUGAACUGGUGCCGGGCACAAACCAGAUGUAGUACUGAACAUGUGGCAGUACCAGGUUAAGGUUAGGAUACUUGGUUAGGAUACCGGUACCGGUGUUGCGGACCCUUGAUUUUACGUACAGCCUGCACGUCAAAAAAAGACGAGUUGGGGACGUCUAAAACGUCAAAAGGUGACGCAGAGGAUUUCUUAACCAAACGUCAAUAUGCGACAACCUGGGAGUGAGAAUGUGUUGCUCCUCCAACAAAGGGCAAAAAUUCCUUCCUUAUUUUGGCCUUUAUUCAGUCAUUUCUUCCCUUUGUCUGAUCAUGUUUGCAGUUUUACUGUUUAGUGUAACGUUGUUGUUUCCUUUUACUCAAGCGGUUUUUGUUUUGUGUUGUUAAAUUGAGCAACAUAAUGCUUUUGGUAAUAAAACCUCUCAUUCAUAAGCACAUUA